AUCCCAGAAUCGCGCCAAACGGCGAUGCGAUUGACAUAACCGACCACAGAACACUACCAAAUCCCAAAAUUCCAGCAAUUACAUACCCGACAGAGAUCCCUAUCCCCACUGUAGGAUAAAAGAACUGUUCAAAUCGACAAUCCAAAAGUGUACAAAAUACUAACAAACUCAUCUGGCAACAACACCAAACAAGAUUAAAGUUUACAGACGGAUUCCAACAAUCCAACUCACACCUCUGUAGGUGGCCAAAAUUUAAUGCGGAUCUCACAAAUCACAAGUGACAAAAUCAUUGAUUGUUUAGCACCUUGACG
rnacentral:lncRNA from 1 species